AAGUCGUAACAAGGUUUCCGUAGGUGAACCUGCGGAAGGAUCAUUAAUGAAAUGAUAAUUUUUUGGGGUUUUCCCUGAAAAAUAAUUCACCUUUUGUGCACUGUUAUAAGAUAUACUUUGGUUAGAGCUUUGAUUUCAUUUUUUUGAAAUCAACUUCUUGCUGACUCUAUCCUAUUAUAUGGGACAGUUGGCUAUGAAGCGGUCUACCAAGGUUUUUUAUCAAACACUUGUUAUUUAUCUGACCUAAAUCAUUAUAAUUAAAUCAUAACUUUCAACAACGGAUCUCUUGGCUCUC
rnacentral:misc_RNA from 1 species